GUCAUUUCAGGGACAUCCGAUAAAAUUAGAAUGAUACAGAGAAGAUUAGCAUGGCCUCUAUGCAAGGAUGAUAGACACAAAUCGAGAAAUGGAGUUAUU